AGAGGACAUACAAAUACCCCAACACUUAUAGCAAUGGCAAUCAACAAGCACUUGUGGUCCCAAACUAGUCAAUUUCAAAAUCAAUGCAGUCCAAAGUGCAACACGUGCUUCCAAGAGCUUAGUAAAGGAAACCAAAAGGAUAAAAUGCUCCUAAACAAGGCAAUCAGAGGCAACUAACUUCAAUAAGCAAAUUUAAGCGUUACAGGCACCUCCCAAUUUAACAAGCAAAUUACCCACAAUUAGACACAAAUCACAGCAAAUUAGACAUAAUGGGACCCAAAAUCGUAAUAACCGCCUCCAGUUGGACAGUCAAUUACCCAAUUCAACCUGCCAAAAUCAGCAAUUAACCCAAGAAAUGCUCAAAUCACCUCCUGCUUUAUCCAAAACAACUC
rnacentral:lncRNA from 1 species